AAAAGCCCGAAUUUGAAUUCGGGGGCCCAUUAGCAAUAUGAAUAGAACUACAGAAGAACGUACAUACAAGGCGCAAGGAGGGCCGAUAGAAGGUGUAGACGAACGCACCGUUCGAUUUCAGCGCUGCGAAUUGGGGAUUAAUUGAUCAUAACACUCGGAUCGUCGUGCGAUGGGCAAAAGGAGAAGGAGAGAACCUGCAGCAGAAACCCUAAUACCAACGCACGAGAUUGGGGAAUCAAUCGGUGCAGCAGGAGGAGUAAAGGAAAGGAAUUCGAAAGGGGAGAAAUUCAUCGCAUGCUAUCUUCUGACCUCGCUCUGCCCGAGAUUCAAAGGACAGACCUACAUAGGGUUCACGGUGGAUCCGCGGCGGAGAAUACGGCAGCACAAUGGCGAAAUCGGGAGCGGCGCUUGGAGGACGAGGCGGAAGCGUCCGUGGGAGAUGGUGCUCUGCAUCUAUGGCUUCCCUUCCAAUGUUGCUGCUCUUCAGUUCGAGUGGGCAUGGCAACACCCGAGAAGAUCGCUCGUAGUUAGAGCAGCAGCUGCAAGUUUCAAAUCCGUCUCCGGACUUGUGAACAAAAUUAAACUUGCGGUCGCUAUGCUCAGUCUUCCAGCUUGGCAGAGGUGUGGUUGCAAUGCAUUGUCCCUCAAUUAUUGUUUGGUUUGAACCUCACGAUGAAUUUCUUCUCAACACGAUACGAAACCUAUAUCUCUGGUUGUCCUGGGGAUCAAAUUCGGAUGCAGGUCUGUUCGAUUGAGGGUCUUCCCUGUUAUGGUCGAAAAUCAGGUGAAGCAGACAAAUCUGAAGGUGUCGAAGAGUUUUCUGAAGAAAAAUUGCACGUACAUUGAGUUGGAAAGACGAUGCUAUCACAGCUUCCAGGAAAUUACAUGAUGGUUUGGAACUGCCUCAACGGGAGAGAGAGAGAGAGCGUAAGUUUCAAUCAAGAAUCGACCAGACUAUCAGGUAUUCCUAUUCCUUGCUUUUGUUAUAAAUGCCAGUCUAUCGGGUAUUCCUAUUCCUUGCUUUUGUUAUAAAUGCCGUCGAUUUAUAUAAUAUGUUGAAUUACCAGGAACACUAUAUGUUGUAUAGAUAUAGGACUGACUUGAAUUACACGGUAUAGUCGAUUAUUGAAGUUAUUUGUUGUUGGACAUGAA